rnacentral:rRNA from 1 species
GACAACAGUUGGAAACGACUGCUAAUACCGCAUAACAUCUCCGGAUCAAAGUGGGGGACCUUCGGGCCUCACGCCAUAAGAGUAGCCCAAGUGGGAUUAGCUAGUUGGUAAGGUAAUGGCUUACCAAGGCGACGAUCCCUAGUUGGUCUUAGAGGAUGACCAGCCACACUGGAACUGAGACACGGUCCAGACUCCUACGGGAGGCAGCAGUGGGGAAUAUUGCACAAUGGGCGCAAGCCUGAUGCAGCCAUGCCGCGUGUGUGAAGAAGGCUUUCGGGUUGUAAAGCACUUUCAGCGAGGAGGAAAGGUUGUACUUUAAUAGAGUGCAGCUGUGACGUUACUCGCAGAAGAAGCACCGGCUAACUCCGUGCCAGCAGCCGCGGUAAUACGGAGGGUGCGAGCGUUAAUCGGAAUUACUGGGCGUAAAGCGCGCGUAGGUGGUUAAUUAAGUCAGAUGUGAAAUCCCAGGGCUCAACCUUGGAACUGCAUUUGAAACUGGUUGACUAGAGUUUUGUAGAGGGUGGUAGAAUUUCAGGUGUAGCGGUGAAAUGCGUAGAGAUCUGAAGGAAUACCAGUGGCGAAGGCGGCCACCUGGACAAAGACUGACACUGAGGCGCGAAGGCGUGGGGAGCAAACGGGAUUAGAUACCCCGGUAGUCCACGCAGUAAACGAUGUCUAUUAGAAUUUUGUGGCUAUAUGCCGUGGGAUUCAAAGCUAACGCAUUAAAUAGAC